UACGGGGGGAGCAAGCGUUGUUCGGAAUCACUGGGCGUAAAGGGCGUCUAGGCGGUUUGGUAAGUGGGAUGUGAAAUGCCCGGGCUCACCCCGGGACCUGCAUCCCAAACUGCUGAGCUUGAGUACAGGAGAGGGUGGGGGAAUUCCAGGUGUAGCGGUGAAAUGCGUAGAUAUCUGGAGGAACACCUGAGGUGAAGACGGGUUGCUGGGCCGACACUGACGCUGAGUGCGCGAAAGCCAGGGGAGCAAACGGG
rnacentral:rRNA from 1 species